GCCAUCGGCCAUACCACGUUGAGUACGCCGGUUCUCGUCCGAUCACCGAAGCUAAACAACGUUGGGCCCGGGUAGUACUUGGAAGGGAGACCGCUGGGAACACUGGGUGUUGAUGGCA
rnacentral:rRNA from 1 species